rnacentral:rRNA from 1 species
GGGAAUCUGACCGAGCAACGCCGCGUGAAUGACGAAGUACUUCGGUAUGUAAAGUUCUUUUAUCAAGGAAGAAAAGCAAAUGGCGAACCAUUUGUUUGCCGGUACUUGAUGAAUAAGCCCCGGCUAAUUAUGUGCCAGCAGCCGCGGUAAGACAUAAGGGGCAAGUGUUAUCCGGAAUUAUUGGGCGUAAAGGGUGCGUAGGCGGUCUAGUAAGUCAGUGGUGUAAUGGCAACGCUUAACGUUGUCCGGCUAUUGAAACUGCUAAACUUGAGUUAGAUAGAGGCGAGUGGAAUUCCAUGUGUAGCGGUAAAAUGCGUAAAUAUAUGGAGGAACACCAGAGGCGUAGGCGGCUCGCUGGGUCUUAACUGACGCUGAGGCACGAAAGCGUGGGGAGCAAACAGGAUUAGAUACCCUGGUAGUCCACGCCGUAAACGAUGAGUACUAAGUGUCGGGUUAAACCGGUACUGAAGUUAACACAUUAAGUACUCCGCCUGAGUAGUACGUACGCAAGUAUGAAACUUAAAGGAAUUGACGGGACUCCGCACAAGCGGUGGAUCAUGUUGUUUAAUUCGAAGAUACCCGAAAAACCUUACCAGGUCUUGACAUGUUUUUGCAAAAUGAUAGUAAUAUCGUGGAGGUUACCAGAAACACAGGUGGUGCAUGGUUGUCGUCAGCUCGUGUCGUGAGAUGUUAGGUUAAGUCCUAAAACGAGCGAAACCCUUAUCGUUAGUUGCCAGCACGUUAUGGUGGGGACUUUAACGAGACUGCCAAUGAUAAAUUGGAGGAAGGUGAGGAUCACGUCAAAUCAGCAUGCCCCAUAAGACUUGGGCUACGCACC